CCCCUUCCAAGCCACUUUAGAAAUUAUCACCUGCCUCUGAGCUAUCAGAGAUCCUUUAUAGCAGCGUGGGACAGUAAGAUAGAGAAUUUGUGUGUAAAAGCACAAUCCAGUGUGUGUGUAUGUGUGUGUGUGCGUGAUUAUCCAGCCAAAGAUUUUCCGGCAGCAGUGCGCUAAAAGGAUUAGCCAUCUUGGCAGCAGGGUUCCCAGUGCUUCAUUCUGUCACCGUCCGUCUCCCAGAUGUUAACGGGAAAUGCCAGAAGAAGAACAUGAGAAAGACAUCUGUCACAACUGGACCAAACCACUCUGACCUGCAAGACACCUUCACUCACCAGAAUCACAGUCCAGGAAAACUUUAACCAAAUGUAGUCAAUUUUCUGUGCACAGUAUGUCUUUCUCUCAGUCUCGCUCUCUCUAUCCCUCUCUCUUUAACACACGUGGAAUCUCUUUUCUGUCGUUCCCUUCCCUAGUUCUUUUUCUCUGUAUGUAUGUGUCUGUGUGAAAGACAGAAAGAGAAAUAGAAGAAGAGAGAGGGAGAAAGACUAAAUUAAAACCUUAAAGAUGCAGUUCUGUGAAAUUAGUAGAUGUGGGCUGUGUGAAGGCAGUAGAUGUGUGUGUGUGGCUCUGUGAAGGCAGUAUGUGUGUGUGUGUGGCUCUGUAAAAGCAGUAUAUGUGUGUGUGGCUUUGUGAAGGCAGUAUGUGUGUGUGUGUGUGUGUGUGGCUCUGUGAAGGCAGUAUAUGUGCGUGUGUGGCUCUGUGAAGGCAGUAUAUGUGCGUGUGGGGGGUGAACAAGCUCUUUGUGACCAGUAGAUAUGGGGGUGUUCAGAACCUCGAGCUACCACAAAAAGAAAAUUGCUCAUUUCACCACAACAUGCUAUUUAAGUUAUAACGCACCGUGGGGGUUUCAUCAAACCACACUGCCCCCGUCACCACGCGCCUAUCCCACCUCCGGCACCGGCCUCCAUCGACCGUCUGAGUGGAACGGAGCUGUGCCUCCACUGGCCACGCCAGCAGUGACAAAAUCCUGUUGUCUAUUUACAAUGAGCCCAUCCUCACAACAAACAAACCAACAACGGCUUCAAAGACGGCCGCUAGAUCAAUGAGCAAUCCAUAAACAUCUAGUCCAUUCAUUGUCCUCUUUCACAUGUUAUUGUUCAGCUCGUAGAUGAUAGCUGAGGCAGCCCAGAUGCAAAGAGUGGUGUAAGUUUGUCCUCCACACACACACACACACACACACACACAAACAGAGACACCAACAAACAGACAGAGAGCAGGUCAACAGUAGAAAGAAAAAACCAACCAUUCCUGACUUUUCAGGGUGGGGUUUUCUACUGGACUCCAGCAUGGCUGGAUGACAUUACCAUGUGGUGACAGAUUGUUGGUGGCCCCCAGGUGAAGAUCUGACCACUAUGUUGGAACACUGUCAUGGUAUAAACGUCUUCGAGACACACAGACAGUAUAUCCACGAGUCCACCAUGUCAAAGAAGCACCCGGCUGUCUCAUGAUCUUUCAUCUGAGAGGUUUCCAGCUAAAACGUCCCAACUUCCAAACAAAUUGUUGGUUUAGAGGACCCUUAUAGAUGUGAUCGUAUCACCUAUUUAAAACAAUGUAUUUUUGGAGGGGUUUGACAGUAUCAGUGGCGUUGAUCAUGAAACCAGAAUGCACCUUUUACUUUGCAUAUGUGUAGAAAUAUAUACAGUGAACGCCAGAGGUAUUUGGACAGACGCAUUUAAUGUUUGCUCUGUAUUCCAGCAUGUUUGAAAUGACACAGUGACCAGGAGGUUACAGUGCUGUCUGUCAGCUUUAAUUUUAUGACAUUUUCAUCCAUAUUUAAUCAACAAUUAUACAAAGUAUAGAAUCUAUUUAACAAUAUAAAAAAGCAUUUGGACAAUUUGUUUUGAAGCUGUUUCUUUUCGGGCAAACACAUUUGUAAAUGUCUAGUCAUGACUCUAUGCUUUGCAUUUCCAUCUAAAGUCUGCUGCUGGUGUUUGACAACACAAGGACCAAAGAGCUGUCAACGAAAGUCAAGCUGGACAUGACGAAGUAGAAAAAUCUGAAAACAUCGAGAAACAUAACAACAACAUUAGCUAAAACGUACUGAAGGAACAAAGCAUCGGUGAGCACAGCAAACCCGGUAGACCACAGAAGACCACUAACUGAUGCAAUGCC
ensembl:lncRNA